GUCGAGUCCCUCUGUACGUGGUUCUGAAUUUGAUGCGUUGAAGAAGGAAGUUGCAAAUGUCCGCAAAGAUCUUAAAUCAUUUGAGAAAAAGGUCGGUGAACAGUUUGUUGACAUGAAAGACUACAUGGACAAGUCAAUUAUGAAUUUACUUAAAGAUCUAAAGUCCAUGUUUGGCAGGCAAACUGAAACUCCUGAAGCUAAG